GCAUGGGGGCCUAUGUAACCGUGCUGCCAGCUGCCAGGGAUCAGAGAGGUGGAUGGAGAACGGGAAGCACCCUCCCGCCGGGGGACCCCCUCCAUUUCAGCUUAGGCCAUGUGACUCCCCAAAGUGCUGCAUCUUUUGCCUAGUUCACGUUUAUAGUUCCUGCCAGGGUUAGACAGACAUUCGCUGCUGCUGCUGCUGCUGCUGCUUUCGGGGUUGGCUGCAUUGGGAAGCUGCCGUGUGUGGGUGGAUGCCUUGCUGCGAAAGCACCGUCUUCCUUUCACCCCUUUCCUUCCUCCCUUCCUUCCUCCCCCUCGGUGUGUGCUUGUUGACAUGGUCUGUGGUGGGGCUUAGCGCGAGACGGAGCACGAGGAUCGCCACACGCCACGUGCAUGGGCCACGGACCCACGUCCUGCGGGAGCUCUGCAUGCCCCUAGGUCUCCGCAGCUGCCCUGUCUCACGUCCUGGGUUUAGCCGCCGCCGCAUCCGCGCUCCCACCUUGGUUGUGCCUCACUGACAAUGGUGCUUCUUCAGUGGUCUGUCUCUUCUUACGUUUUUUCUUUGUAAGGUGCUGUACAUAACUUGAAUAUAUUAUGCACAUAUCCUACCCAAUGGGUAGAACAUACAUUGUUAAUACUGUACUAUAAUGUAUAGAUACCAAUUUUAACAGAAAUGGCAUAGAACUUGUGAAUGCCUAUGUGCUUUGUCCUCUUUUGUAAGGAAAUUUGCAAAUGGAUGCCUACAGAUUAAAAAAAAAAAAGUCUAUGUAGUUUAUUUUCCUAUUAAAUACCAAUAUUAUAACACAAGGGAAAGAAGUCUGAACAAGCAAGCCGCCGUUUAUGACCAGCGUAUGCAUAGCAAUGGAGAGUUGCAUCUUUGCUGUGAAAACACUUUAAAAAAUAUAUAUAAGUUUAAAAAAAAAAUUCCAUAGCUUUUUGGUUGCCAUUAGAUGCUUCUUCUUUUCAGCUCUUAACGCUCAGUUGGACCAGUGUUAGAAGAAAAAAAAAAAAAUUAACUUUUCAGCCUGUUUUAUGAAGACAUCCAUGUUGUGUGGGAGAGUGAUGUCAGACCCCAGAGAAAGUGCACAUUUUGCAAAAAUCACAUCCAGAGUCAGGGGGCCUGCAGCGGAGGGCCGCCUUGCUCAGGAUGGGGGCAUUUGGGACCAUCUGGGUCCCGAGUCUCUCUCUCUGCCUUUCUCCUUCACGAACUGAAGCUGUGGAGCCAGUGAAAUAACCGGAGGGUUUGUAGGGAAAGCAUACCUCAGGAAACAUGAAUCCACUUAGGACCCCAUUCUUCGAAAAAAUCUCGUUAUGGGUUAUGUUAGCAGAGAACUAGCUAUCAGCCAGCCGAGUUGGGAAUCUUAUGUCCAUUCCUUUUGGUGUCUCGUGGUGAUCUUGAUCUAAAAAAUAAACUAGGUUUUGCCACAAGUUAUGGAAUACAUUUUCAGUUGCAUGAUGUCACAUCUCUCUUCUAGCUCGGUUUUUAGUUUCUGAGUGUGCCCUCUGCAUUUAUUUGCAAAUAUUCUAAUGUUACAAAAAAAAAAAAAAAAAAAAAGAGCCGAUAACAAUGUGCUCACUAAACCACUGUUGAACAUGGGUGUGAGCAUCCUUUCCAGUGGUCUGUCCCUGGAGGAUCUUAAUUCUGAUAAGUGCCAUGGUUUUUAUUUGCUUGGUGGUGUCAGUUCUGAUCUUGCAAAUCACAAUAGGAUCACACCCUUUCCUGCCAGAGAACAAAUUAUUACCGAUUAUCCUUAAACUGAAAAUGCCUCUACAAUGCAGCUCUUAAUGCUGAAUGGACUAAAAGUCAGCCCUUCUUUUAUUAUCUGUUUUGAAAGAUCCAUCAAAAGAUCGAUAUCUCGUGUGUUCUCGCUCCUGUCCAACCCCACUGUCUGCUGCAGGGUUCCCCAGGCUUCAGCAUUAAAAAGAGGGGCUCAUGGCUGUCAGGAACCACAUCCCCCACCCCACCCCAGGUUUGAUCUCUGGGGAGAACUGUUGAGAGUGGGUGUCAGAGAAUGUUCUGGACUCAGAGGUACUAACAUUUGUUACCACAUCAUGGCUUUUCUCUCUACAGAACUAAUUAAGGCUUAAACUUUAUUGUUAAUGAUACUGGUUCAUUUUAAUGUGUUUAUUGGUAUAUUGUUAUUUUUCAUUUCAUGGCUUUCAUAUAUCACGUUUUCUAAUUGUAUAUUUGUCUAGUGUGAAGCUGUUUUAAAACAUGUAAUACUAUUCACAGCAUUUAGUUCAUUUAAUUAUUAUAAAGCAGCCUACUAAAAAAGUACAACUGUAUUUGAACUUUUCAAGUUGAUCAUAUGAGUUAUAAUAAUCAGAAGUCAUUAAAGUCUUUUUUUUAACAGCCAUUUGUGCUUACUUUUCAAAAUAAUUCCCAAUUAUGUACUAAAAAAGAUCUCCAACUGUUGUGUAUCUGCCUCUUUUUAACUGAGCACUGGCGAUGUAGUUCUUAGGCCUAAGGUCUGUCAUUGCAAUACUUUUAAAGAGAGAUGUUGCUCCAAGUGCUGUUAAAGCUAUGAAAUCAGCUUUUUCUGCUUGUUCGUAAUGCUAUGGUCCAACCACAGCACAAAAUUAUUAAAAAUAAUCAGUGA